UAGGGAAUAUUGGACAAUGGGGGCAACCCUGAUCCAGCCAUGCCGCGUGAGUGAAGAAGGCCCUCGGGUUGUAAAGCUCUUUUGUCCGGAAAGAAAAGCUUCGGGUUAAUACCCCGGGGUUCUGACGGUACCGGAAGAAUAAGCACCGGCUAACUUCGUGCCAGCAGCCGCGGUAAUACGAAGGGUGCAAGCGUUACUCGGAAUUACUGGGCGUAAAGCGUGCGUAGGUGGUUGUUUAAGUCUGAUGUGAAAGCCCUGGGCUCAACCUGGGAAUGGCAUUGGAAACUGGGCAGCUAGAGGGCGGUAGGGGGUAGUGGAAUUCCCGGUGGAGCAGUGAAAUGCGUAGAGAUCGGGAGGAACAUCUGUGGCGAAGGCGACUGCCUGGACCAGCACUGACACUGAGGCACGAAAGCGUGGGGAGCAAACA
rnacentral:rRNA from 1 species